rnacentral:rRNA from 1 species
GACGAACGCUGGCGGCGUGCUUAACACAUGCAAGUCGAACGAAGUGGCGAACGGGUGAGUAAUACGUGGGUAACUGCCCUCCUUUUUGGGAUAAGCCUUGGAAACGGCUGCUAAUACCGGAUAGUGGGGGAUGACUCGCGUCCUAUCAGCUUGUUGGUGGGGUAGUGGCCUACCAAGGCGACGACGGGUAGCCGGCCUGAGAGGGCUACCGGCCACAUUGGGCUGAGAUACGGCCCAAACUCCUACGGGAGGCAGCAGUGGGGAAUAUUGCACAAUGGGGGAAACCCUGAUGCAGCAACGCGCGUGAGUGAAGAAGGUUUUCGGAUCGUAAAGCUCUGUUGUUAAGGGAGAAUGGAAAGUUCAUGCUGUGACGGUACUUAACCAGAAAGGGACGGCUAACUACGUGCCAGCAGCCGCGGUAAUAC